GAUGAACGCUGGCGGCGUGCCUAAUACAUGCAAGUCGAGCGAACGGACGAGAAGCUUGCUUCUCUGAUGUUAGCGGCGGACGGGUGAGUAACACGUGGAUAACCUACCUAUAAGACUGGGAUAACUUCGGGAAACCGGAGCUAAUACCGGAUAAUAUUUUGAACCGCAUGGUUCAAAAGUGAAAGACGGUCUUGCUGUCACUUAUAGAUGGAUCCGCGCUGCAUUAGCUAGUUGGUAAGGUAACGGCUUACCAAGGCAACGAUGCAUAGCCGACCUGAGAGGGUGAUCGGCCACACUGGAACUGAGACACGGUCCAGACCCCUACGGGAGGCAGCAGUAGGGAAUCUUCCGCAAUGGGCGAAAGCCUGACGGAGCAACGCCGCGUGAGUGAUGAAGGUCUUCGGAUCGUAAAAUUCUGUUAUUAGGGAAGAACAUAUGUGUAAGUAACUGUGCACAUCUUGACGGUACCUAAUCAGAAAGCCACGGCUAACUACGUG
rnacentral:rRNA from 1 species